rnacentral:rRNA from 1 species
GACGAACGCUGGCGGCGUGCUUAACACAUGCAAGUCGAACGGACAGGCCCAGCUUGCUGGGUGCUCGAGUGGCGAACGGGUGAGUAACACGUGGGUGAUCUGCCCCUAACUUCGGGAUAAGCUUGGUAAACUGGGUCUAAUACCGGAUAGGACAAUCGUUUAGUGUCGGUUGUGGAAAGUUUUUUCGGUUAGGGAUGAGCCCGCGGCCUAUCAGCUUGUUGGUGGGGUAAUGGCCUACCAAGGCGUCGACGGGUAGCCGGCCUGGGAGGGUGGACGGCCACAAUGGGACUGAGGUACGGCCCAGACUGCUACGGGAGGCAGCAGUGGGGAAUAUUGCACAAUGGGCGCAAGCCUGAUGCAGCGACGCCGGGUGGGGGAUGACGGGCUUCGGGUUGUAAACCUCUGUCGACAGGGACGAAGCUUUGGUGACGGUACCUGUACAGGAAGCACCGGCUAACUACGUG